UGUUUUAGUUUAAAUUAAACAAAACAAAAAAAAAAGGGAAGAUCAUUCUGUUUCUUUUUUCUAAAAGAAAAGCAGUGGCUCUGGUUUUUUUUAACCCAUUAUUUGCGCCGCCGUUCAACCGUGCGCCAAGGCCCCGAUUGUGACGGAGGUGGCACCAGCUCGACGACUUCGGCGAUUAGGUUUGGUGACCGUGGAGUGCGCGCGACGCGCGCGGAGUGACAAGUCGCGGCGUGUGGGUGCUGUUGCGACGUGCGCGUGGGAGCUGCUGCGCCUAGGGUUCCUGCUGGUGCUUUGGGCUAGCAAGCUUGGUUUAGUAACUUGGGCCAUUGAGUUUCAAUUAUUGGGUUUUAGUUUACAUUUGUUUUUUUAUUUGUAUUUGGGCUGGGUUUAGUAGGUUGGGUCUAGUAUUUGGGCUUGUUUAUUGGUUUGGGCCCGGGCAUAUUUGUGCUUGUACAAUGACAUGCAUCAAAGCUGCAUUGUUGGGCCUUAGUUUGACCAAGCUCAGAGGCGUCUUUUAUGAUGCUGAGGAUGUGCUCGAUGAAUUCAGGUGUGACCCUCUGCGAAAAGAGUUGAAAACAGUACGUUUCCCUUCCAUCUCUAUCCCUUUUGCUUACUCUUUGAGGAUGGGUAAUAAAAUAAAAAAGAUCAACGAAAGGUUAGAGACCAGUGCUUCUGAUUUCAAAAAAUUUAAUCUCGGAGAGAAUGUUCAAAUUCUUCAGAACCGACCGUGUGUUGUUCAAAGUCAUAGGGACACCCACUCCUUCAUGACUUUUAAGGUACUUGGUCGAGAUCAAGACAAAGAGAACAUUAUAGAUCUUCUAGUCCAGCCAAGGGGUGUCUAAAACAUUCCUGUCAUUCCUAUAGUUGGAAUAGGAGACCUGGGAAAAAACUAAGCUUGCUCAGUUUGUGUACAAUGAAGAAAGAGUGAGUCGGCGUUUUCCCUUGAAACUAUGGGUGUGUGUAUCGGAGUUUUUCGAUGUUGCUAGGUUGCUUUGUGAGAUUAUUUAUUGCAUUAAGUCGUGAGAGAUGUGAUGGUUUACCAGUCAAUGCACUGUUGACUCUUCUACAAAGUCUUGUAAAAAGGUCAAAAUUUUUUACUUGCUCUGGAUGAUGUGUGGAACGAAGAUCGUGUAAAAUGGAAUGAGUUGAGAAACAUAUUGAUGAAGUUAGAUGAUUUGCAUCAAAGUAAAAUCAUUGUAACCACCAAAAGUUUAGCUGUCGUAUGAAUUGGAAGCUCUUAAUCAUCAA